rnacentral:tRNA from 1 species
CAAAAUAUAGCUUAACUAAAGCCCCUCGCUUACACCGAAGAGACAUCUGCGCACACCAGAUUAUUUUGA